rnacentral:lncRNA from 1 species
AAAAUUAAAAUUAAAAAAUAAACAUAGAGUAAUUCAUCUCCGUCGAACCUCCAUUGAUGUCGUCUUACCUUGUCAAGGUCCACCGAUCUCGUCGUCUAUGUUCUUCGUUUCGACCCAUCACCUCACAAUCGAACCAUAUAUCAUUCGUUUUCUCUCCUUCAAACCCUAAAUUGCUCUUCGUUAUUAACACCUCUAUCAACCAUGUAACAAAAAAAAAACACCUCUAUCAACCACGCUCGAACACCAGAUUUGUCGCCCUCACCCCUUCUUCGAUGCCUUUCGUUGACAGAAAGAAAGAAACUAUCACGCAAAGGAGCUUUUUGCCAACCCCUUCACUGACGAGCUUCUGCCCUCAUACACAGGUUUGAUUUGAAACCCUAAUCUUGUCUGAUCCUUUGGUUUCUUGAUUUUUCAAUUAAUUUAACCUUCUUUCAGUUCAAUGUUGCAAAUUGACAAGGACCACCUCCUUGAAUUUUUCAAUUGCUUAAAUUUCAGGUGUUGCAAACUAUUUGAUUUUGGAUUUUAGUGUGGUAUGAUCUAUUUGUUUUCAAUCGCUUAGUAUUGUUUAUUUUGAGGUGUCUUCAUUUCAGGUAAUUCAUUUUUUAAAGAUAAUUGUUUGAUGAUUAAGAAUUUGAAACACCCUCACUUGCUUGUUGUGUGGUUUGUGAAUGUAUUGAAGAAAUUGAAGUUGUAAAUUUUAAUCCAUGUUUACAUUAUCUUCUUGCCAUAUUUAGAUUAGGUUGUUCUAUCUUUGUGUGAUUUUAUACAUAGAUUGUUGAUCAUCUUUGCCACAUGAAAAAGUGUAAAUCUAUUAAUCUUGCUGUUGUGUUUGAACAGUUGGAAUGGUUCUUGUAUAAAAAGNNNNNNNNNNNNNNUUGUACAGGAAACUUGACAUGCUUUGAUAUAUAAAUUAAGAAGUGGUCAAAGUAAUAGGUUCAAGUUCUUUGAAAUUUGGUGGAUGAGAAUUUUCUGCAUUUCCUCAUAGGAUUGAUUGAAAAGGAGCAUUUUUUCCUGUGCGUUUUUAAAUGGUAGGUAGAUUGGAACCGCUGCCACAACUAUGAAAUCUAUUGAAUUUGUGUUUCUCUGCAUCUUUUCUCUCCGGUCGAGCCAAACUAUUGAUUCUUCCUCUUCUAUUCUCUUUCGUUACCUCUUCUUUUUUCCUUUUUCAAUUAGAACGGUUAUUGAGUCCACCAAACUACCUCUUAUUCCUUUCUUCGAUGUUGUAGGUUUCAACCGCACCAAUUGAAGGUAUUUGUUGAUCUUGUUUCCUUUCAUUGUUACUGCUCUUUUGUACAUUUUAUCUUUUAGGCAUCAUUUUCCACUUGAUUAUAUUAUUGGGUNNNNNNNNNNNNNNNNNNNNNNNUUUUGCUGUUAUAUUUCCUCUGCAUUGUGGUUCUCAAUUUGGAUUUUCAGUUUUUUCUAGUUAAUUUAUAGUGUACUUAUUGUGAAUACUAAAUCAUAAGUAAGAAUCUUGUAUAUAUGUUACUACAAGAAAACAAGGUAUUACUGGCGGCCAAAAGCCCUCAAUAAUGCACAAAUUUCGUCAAAAUUGCAUGCAUUACUGACGGCCAUGGGCCCUCUGCAAUUAGCUCGCCGG